UACAGAGGGGGCAAGCGUUGUUCGGAAUUACUGGGCGUAAAGGGCGCGUAGGCGGCCUUCUAAGUCGAACGUGAAAUCCCUGGGCUCAACCCAGGAACUGCGUCCGAUACUGGAUGGCUUGAAUUCGGGAGAGGGAUGCAGAAUUCCAGGUGUAGCGGUGAAAUGCGUAGAUAUCUGGAGGAAUACCGGUGGCGAAGGCGGCAUCCUGGACCGACAUUGACGCUGAGGAGACGAAAGGCUAGGGGAAGCAAAGCGGGAUUAAGCAAACCCGGGGUAGUCCC
rnacentral:rRNA from 1 species